rnacentral:rRNA from 1 species
UGGGGAAUUUUGGACAAUGGGCGAAAGCCUGAUCCAGCAAUGCCGCGUGUGUGAAGAAGGCCUUCGGGUUGUAAAGCACUUUUGUCCGGAAAGAAAUCCUUGGCUCUAAUACAGUCGGGGGAUGACGGUACCGGAAGAAUAAGCACCGGCUAACUACGUGCCAGCAGCCGCGGUAAUACGUAGGGUGCAAGCGUUAAUCGGAAUUACUGGGCGUAAAGCGUGCGCAGGCGGUUUGCUAAGACCGAUGUGAAAUCCCCGGGCUCAACCUGGGAACUGCAUUGGUGACUGGCAGGCUAGAGUAUGGCAGAGGGGGGUAGAAUUCCACGUGUAGCAGUGAAAUGCGUAGAGAUGUGGAGGAAUACCGAUGGCGAAGGCAGCCCCCCUGGGCCAAUACUGACGCUCAUGCACGAAAGCGUGGGGAGCAAACAGGAUUAGAUACCCUGGUAGUCCACGCCCUAAACGAUGUCAACUAGUUGUUGGGGAUUCAUUUCCUUAGUAACGUAGCUAACGCGUGAAGUUGACCGCCUGGGGAGUACGGUCGCAAGAUUAAAACUCAAAUGAAUUG